rnacentral:sRNA from 1 species
UCUCAUACACAUCCAGGAGUACACUUGCCCUAUUGCUCACUUCUUCCAUCCUUUUUUUCAGACAUUCUUAAUCUCAUCAGUCUAUGAUGUUGGUAUUACAAAGACAAUGUAAGUUUGGGGAGAGAUGUAUAGACAUGGUGGGCUCAUGCUACUACAUGAGAACUGUGUGCUUGCUUCUCACUGCCUCUUCUAUUCCCAAAUUUGCAGCUGGGAGUCCUUGUAGCUCUCCUAAAUUCUUUCUUUUAUAAGUGUAAUGUCAUGGAUCACCUCCCAAAAGUAAGAUGAUAAGCAGCAUUAUUCUUUAUUCAUUCAUCAGAGCCAGUGGCUCAGCUCUUCUCUGAUCCUUGACCUGUAAGGAACCUCUUAUAUUUGCUUUUCCAUUUUUAUCUCUGAUAUUCAUCCAGUGUACCAUGUUCAGUUCUCAAGGGAGAGUUCCUGUGAGACCAAAAAUGCAAAAAAAAAAAAUGUGUUCCUUGUACCUUGAUGGCAGCUUCUUCUGGAAUGUAAGGCAGGAAGUCCCAAGAUAAUGGAUUCUAGUUUUCCUGCAAGUGCUGUGCACUUCCCUGUCCCUAGGAAAUACGAAGUACAACUAAGAGAAUGUGCUUUCCUCUUAAAAUAGGAAAUUUCUCUCUGUGUCUCUAUUGGUCAUCACUGUCUCUUACUCAGAGGAACAAACCUCAUUUUGGUUGUUCCCUGCGUGGUUUCCAGAAGAUUUCUAGGUAUACAUAAUCAGGUAGACAAAAUUUGGGCCUGAAAACUCUACUUAGCAUAUUUGUGAUUGGAGUCCUGACUUGAGUAGAUUAGGGUAUGAGGGAUGAUGGAUAGAGACCUGAUCUCAAUCCUCUCAGUAAGGAUGACAAAUUUCACUAUAGCCUGACUCCUCGUUUACUGAGACACUGGUUUGACCUGCACUGACAUUUUGAACUUUGUCUUCCUUCUUCUCCAGGAUACCGGAUCCUUUAUGAGUUCUGUUUCAGUUACAGUGUUAUUGCUGUUAAGAGACACCAUGACCAAUUUAUUAUAUAAUGGGAGAAAUUUCAUCUCUGGUCCAAUCUAUCUGGAGUUCUGUUUUUGGGCAUCUCUUUCUUUAUGUUAGAUCCUCGACCUUUUUACUGUGCCUCCUGAUUUACUUCACUAAGGUCCAGGAUACAGUUUGUAUUACAAAAUUGUGCUGAUGCGGGAUUCAAUGAGAGUGUCACUAUGAAAUAUGUGAAAAGAAGUAGGAUCCUGUGUGUGCCGCGUCGUUCCUGCUGGC